AGACUUUGAUUAUGGCUCAGAUUGAACGCUGGCGGCAGGCCUAACACAUGCAAGUCGAGCGGUAGCACAGAGAAGCUUGCUUCUUGGGUGACGAGCGGCGGACGGGUGAGUAACGCGUGGGAAUCUACCUGGUAGUGGGGGACAACAGUCGGAAACGACUGCUAAUACCGCAUACGCCCUUCGGGGGAAAGUGGGGGAUCUUCGGACCUCACGCUAUCAGAUGAGCCCGCGUCGGAUUAGCUUGUUGGUGAGGUAAAGGCUCACCAAGCGAUGAUCCGUAGCUGGUCUGAGAGGAUGACCAGCCACACUGGGACUGAGACACGGCCCAGACUCCUACGGGAGGCAGCAGUGGGCGAAUAUUGGACAAUGGGGGCAACCCUGAUCCAGCCAUGUCGCGUGUGUGAAGAAGGCCUUCGGGUUGUAAAGCACUUUCAGCUGUGAGGAACGGUGAGUGGUUCAUACCCGCUUGCUUGUGACGUUAACCA
rnacentral:rRNA from 1 species